GCCGUGAUCGAUGAAUGC
rnacentral:siRNA from 1 species